UCUCUCUCACCCCUCUCUCUCUCACGCCUCUCUUAUUUCUCUCUCGCACCACCCUCUUAAUCUUCUUUGUCUCUCACGCAAGGCACUUCUGUUUAGCACAUACGUUUAAUUGUUUCAAUUACAUCUCAAUUGCGAAUUAGGGCUGUCGAAUUUGGGGGUUUUCAGUUCUGAGUUCAAAUUAAGACUUAUUAACUCAAACUUCUUCGACUAAUCGCUCUCUUUCUUUGUUUGUAGGUACGAUUUGAGUUACUGGGAUUCAAUAUGUGUUAAGUUGUUCAGGUAAUGGUAAGGGUUGAAACAGCUGCAGAGGGAGCGAGCCGAUAGUAGGAACUUGUUCAGGUGUGUUCUGGAGCUGAGGAUGAAUGGGUUGGCUUUCUUAUGUCUAAAAGAGCUUCAGGAGCUAAGGAUGAAUGAACUUGCUUUUGUCUUGCCUGACAGCGGAGCUGAGCAUAUUGUCUCUAAUUUCAGUAACAGAGAAAGCCUUAUGUGUAUCCAAAAUGAAGGAAAUCAUUUGCAAUUAGGAGCUAAAGAUGCUCUUCUUAAUAGCCUUCUUGUUGCAGCUAAAAAAUUCAGCUCGGGUCCCCCAAAGAUUCUUCAACUUACUUGGCAGGCUCUUUUGGUCAUUGUUGUACUAUAAAAGAAUGCUCUUUCUGUUAUGAAAAUAUUUCAGUAGUAGUGCUGCUUCUGUUGAUUGAUCUAAUCUAGUGAUCAACUGUCAUGUAAAUUGGAAUGUGCAUUUUUAGCGUGUUGGAAAUCCAAGACCAAAGUACAUAUAUUAGGCGAUGCUUGUAUGGC